CCCGCUCAGAAACUUAAAGGAAUUGACGGGGGCCCGCACAAGCGGUGGAGCAUGUGGUUUAAUUCGAUGAUACGCGAGGAACCUUACCUGGGCUCAAAUGUAUGUUGACGUAUUCUGAAAGGGAUACUUCUUCGGACAAUAUACAAGGUGCUGCAUGGUUGUCGUCAGCUCGUGCCGUGAGGUGUCGGGUUAAGUCCCAUAACGAGCGCAACCCCUAUCAUUAGUUGCCAUCAGGUCAAGCUGGGGACUCUAAUGAAACUGCCUACGCAAGUAGUGAGGAAGGUGGGGAUGACGUCAAAUCAGCACGGCCCUUACGUCCAGGGCUACACACGUGCUACAAUGGCCGAUACAGAGGGCAGCUACCUGGUGACAGGAUGCAAAUCUCCAAAGUCGGUCUCAGUUCGGAUCGGAGUCUGCAACCCGACUCCGUGAAGUUGGAUUCGCUAGUAAUCGCGCAUCAGCCAUGGCGCGGUGAAUACGUUCCCGGGCCUU
rnacentral:rRNA from 1 species